rnacentral:rRNA from 1 species
UACGUAGGGUGCGAGCGUUAAUCGGAAUUACUGGGCGUAAAGCGUGCGCAGGCGGUUCGUUGUGUCGGCGGUGAAAGCCCCGGGCUCAACCUGGGAAUGGCCGUUGAAACUGGCGAACUGGAGUGUGGCAGAGGGGGGUGGAAUUCCGCGUGUAGCAGUGAAAUGCGUAGAGAUGCGGAGGAACACCGAUGGCGAAGGCAGCCCCCUGGGCUAACACUGACGCCUCAGGCACGAAAGCGUGGGGAGCAAACAGG